AGGAGAGCCCGGAGCCGGAUCCACUCUCAGCCUCAGGAAGCAGCAGCCUCCGCUCCGCGGCGGGUGUGCUCGGCAGUCACAGACCCACUCAGGACACCUCCCGUUGCCGACGGGCUAGACCUGCCUUAAAGGGGUCCCCGUGUCUCUCCAGUCUAGAGCCUAAGUUCAAACGAGGCGUAUAGGCGAGGACAGCAGGAAGGCUCCAAGUCAAACAAACGGAUGGGAAGUGGUCUUGGGAAACCUGAAGACACUGGGAUAUUCAGAAGGCCAAGGGGAUCCAGCUUAUCCUGUUGGGCAAGGUGCUGGGAGUGAAGGCAGGUCACCUGAAUGAUACUGGUGCCAUUUCUGAAGUUGGUGAAACUCCGCAUUACAUCCUGACUCAGAGAUUCCACUGAUGAUUUCCAGGAACUACCAAAGCCACGGAUCAGCUGAGUUACCCGGGCUAAUAGCAGGAGGAAACAGUGUCAGAGAGGGAUCUGGCUGAUCUUCAACUCCACUAAGUUCUCCCCAAGGGUCUUGCUCCAUCACCCACGCUGGAGUGCAGUGGCACAAUCACAGCUCACUACAACCUCAACUUUCCUGGCUCAGUGAUUAUCCCACCUCAGCCUCCUGAGUAGCUGGGACUAACAGGCAUGUGCCAACAUGUCCCACUCAUUUUUUUUUUAUUUUUUGUAGAGAUGGGUUUCACCAUGUUGUCCAGGCUGGUCUCAAACUCCUGGGCUCAAGCGAUCCUCCCUGCCUUGGCCUGUGCUGGGAUUA
rnacentral:sRNA from 1 species